ensembl:lncRNA
UGGCCUUGAGCACCUCCAGGGAUGGGGUACCCACUACUUCUCUGGGCAGCCUGUACCAGUACCUCACCACCCUCUGAGUAAAGAAUUUCCUCCUAACAGUUAAGCUAAAUCUUCCCUCUUUCAGUUCAAAGCCAUUCCCCCUCGCCCUAUCACUAUUAGAUCAUCCAUGGUAUGACUAAUGACAUCCCACGAGACUUCCAGUAAACUCCCGAGAACUACCCCCAGAUUAACAAAGUAGUCUGCGUAUGUUUGAAGAGUUGGACCUUGACAUGACUGGAUGGCUUUCUGCAGAUCUUGUCUCCACGUUAAAACAUUUCUAAAAUGAGUAAAGCUGAAGUAAGGAUGUGAAAUGAAAAGUCACAUGCUACCCAGGGACACAACAUCCUGAACCCUUCACAGGCUGAUUCCUUGAACGUGACACCAGCUGUAUCACUGUGUCUGUUCAUGGGGGUAUCUGGCUGAGACAGAGGCUGCUUCACAACAUGAGAACUGUACAGUUUGUUUUCCACACUUACAUUUAAAAAAAAACACGAAUCCUUUCUCCACAACAAUCUAUCUCCACAGCAGAUAAAAAUCUUGCUGAAUUCAUAGCACCACCUUCAGAGUCCUCGUACAAUCCUUUUCCUUAUUUUCCCCACACCUUGGAUCUUAACCUCUCUUUUACUUAUUUUUUCUCCCCAGUGAUAGUUUGAAUUCUUCCCCUUAAAGCCCCACCUUGACAUACUAUGGUAUCAGUACUCAGAGCUGGUUCGAAUUUAUCAGAUGGCUUCAAUGCUAGAAAAUACCACUUUGUCACAAUCAGAACCCUUCCUAAAAGUUUGUCACUUUCCAACGCGAAUCUCUAUUUUACUGAAACCGCAGCUUUCAAUAAUGUCAAAACAUCAUUCUGACAUCUUGGAAAUGGAACACCUCUGUUAAAAAAAAAAAGAGUUUUGCAUUUCACUGUAUUCUCCUGGAGAUUCUGUAAACUGACUUUCUGUUUGGAGUGGAAAAAAAAGAUUCAUAGCUACAGAAUUCCCUGAAAAAGAGUCAUUCUCUUUCAGCUCUACAUCUCACCCUUUCUUCCAUCUCCACCCUGCAGAGGUUGCAGCUGAGAAGACUGAUAACACCACAGCAGUGGCAACAGUGUUCAUACAUUUAACGUGCUGGAAUAGUUUUUAUGUAUGUAUCUAAUGUAUACAGUCAGUGGUGCUAUCUCAUUUGAUAUGGAACUUUUAGGCAUGGCAGGCUGUUCCAGCCAUGACAUUUAAUGUGCUGCCUUUUACAGAGAAGGCAUUUAGUGGCUUGGUUUUACAUGAAAGUAAAGCUUAU